rnacentral:rRNA from 1 species
GACGAACGCUGGCGGCGUGCUUAACACAUGCAAGUCGAACGGAAAGGCCCUGCUUUUGUGGGGUGCUCGAGUGGCGAACGGGUGAGUAACACGUGAGUAACCUGCCCUUGACUUUGGGAUAACUUCAGGAAACUGGGGCUAAUACCGUAUAGGAUCUCCUGCUGCAUGGUGGGGGUUGGAAAUUUUCGGCGGUUGGGGAUGGACUCGCGGCUUAUCAGCUUGUUGGUGGGGUAGUGGCUUGCCAAGGCUUUGACGGGUAGCCGGCACGAGAGGGUGACCGGGCACCUUGGGACUGCGGUACGGACCAGACUCGUACGGGAGGCAGCAGUGGGGAAUAUUGUACAAUGGGAGGAAGCGUGAUGCAGAAGCGUCGCGUGCGGGAUGACGGCCUUCGGGUUGUAAACCGCUUUAGCCUGUGACGAAGCGUGAGUGACGGUAAUGGGUAAAGAAGCACCGGCUAACUACGUG